CCUACGGGGGGCGGCAGUGGGGGAUAUUGCACAAUGGGGGCAACCCUGAUGCAGCGACGCCGCGUGUGGGAAGACGGUCCUCUGGAUUGUAAACCACUGUCCCCAGGGACGAAGAUGACGGUACCUGGGGAGGAAGCUCCGGCUAACUACGUGCAAGCAGCCGCGGUAAUAGGUAGGGAGCGCGCGUUGUCCGGAAUUACUGGGGGUAAAGGGGGCGUAGGCGGGGAUGCAAGUUGAGUGUCAAAACUACCGGCUCAACUGGUAGUCGCACUCAAAACUGCAGCUCUUGAGUGAAGUAGAGGCAGGCGGAAUUCCUAGUGUAGCGGUGAAAUGCGUAGAUAUUAGGAGGAACACCAGUGGCGAAGGCGGCCUGCUGGGCUUUUACUGACGCUGAGGCUCGAAAGUGUGGGGAGCAAACAGGAUUAGAUACCCUGGUAGUC
rnacentral:rRNA from 1 species